GGUUGUAUAGUGUAGCGGUUAUCACCCCAGAUUCUGAUUCUCUCAAUGAUUCUGGUGACCCCGGUUCGAUUCCGGGUACGACCU